GAUGAACGCUGGCGGCGUGCCUAAUACAUGCAAGUCGAGCGAAUGGAUUAAGAGCUUGCUCUUAUGAAGUUAGCGGCGGACGGGUGAGUAACACGUGGGUAACCUGCCCAUAAGACUGGGAUAACUCCGGGAAACCGGGGCUAAUACCGGAUAACAUUUUGAACCGCAUGGUUCGAAAUUGAAAGGCGGCUUCGGCUGUCACUUAUGGAUGGACCCGCGUCGCAUUAGCUAGUUGGUGAGGUAACGGCUCACCAAGGCAACGAUGCGUAGCCGACCUGAGAGGGUGAUCGGCCACACUGGGACUGGGACACGGCCCAGACUCCUCCGGGAGGCAGCAGUAGGGAAUCUGCCGCAAUGGACGAAAGUCUGACGGAGAAACGCCGCGUGAGUGAUGAAGGCUUUCGGGUCGUAAAACUCUGUUGUUAGGGAAGAACAAGUGCUAGUUGAAUAAGCUGGCACCUUGACGGUACCUAACCAGAAAGCCACGGCUAACUACGUGCCAGCCGCCGCGGUAA
rnacentral:rRNA from 1 species